rnacentral:rRNA from 1 species
UGCAGAAUCCCGUGAACCAUCGAGUCUUUGAACGCAAGUUGCGCCCGAUUCCAUUAGGUUGAGGGCACGUCUGCCUGGGUGUCACAUAUCGAAGCCUCUAGCCAAUAUCCUAUCUAAAGGUAUUGUGCAUGGUGAAUGUUGGCCUCCCGUAGCCUUUUUGGCUCACGGUUGGUUGAAAAUCGAGACCUUGGUAGGUUGUGCCAUGAUUGAUGGUGGUUGUGUGACCCACGAGAACUUGAAAAUCAUACACUACUUUACUAAAUGUGGCCUCUAUUAACCCAUUUUGCGUUUGUAAACGCUCGUGAUGAGACCUCAGGUCAGGCGGGGCUACCCGCUGAAUUUAAGCAUAUCAAUAAGCGGAGGAAAAGAAACUAACAAGGAUUCCCUUAGUAACGGCGAGCGAACCGGGAUAAGCCCACCAUGAGAAUCGGACGCCUUCGGUGUUCGA